rnacentral:rRNA from 1 species
UACGUAGGGUGCGAGCGUUGCCCGGAUUUAUUGGGCGUAAAGGGCGCGCAGGCGGCUACGCACGUCCGUUGUGAAAUCGCUCGGCUCAACUGGGCGGGGUCAGCGGAUACGGCGUAGCUGGAGCAAGCUAGGGGGCAAUGGAAUUCCCGGUGUAGUGGUGGAAUGCGUAGAUAUCGGGAGGAACACCAGUGGCGAAGGCGGUUGCCUGGAGCUUUGCUGACGCUGAUGCGCGAAAGCGUGGGGAGCGAUCCGG